GUCGAACGGCAGCACAGGGAGCUUGCUCCCGGGUGGCGAGUGGCGCACGGGUGAGUAAUACAUCGGAACGUGUCCUGUUGUGGGGGAUAACUGCUCGAAAGGGUGGCUAAUACCGCAUGAGACCUGAGGGUGAAAGCGGGGGAUCGCAAGACCUCGCGCAAUUGGAGCGGCCGAUGCCCGAUUAGCUAGUUGGUGAGGUAAAGGCUCACCAAGGCGACGAUCGGUAGCUGGUCUGAGAGGACGACCAGCCACACUGGGACUGAGACACGGCCCAGACUCCUACGGGAGGCAGCAGUGGGGAAUUUUGGACAAUGGGGGCAACCCUGAUCCAGCCAUGCCGCGUGCAGGAUGAAGGCCUUCGGGUUGUAAACUGCUUUUGUCAGGGACGAAAAGGACCGUGUUAAUACCAUGGUCUGCUGACGGUACCUGAAGAAUAAGCACCGGCUAACUACGUGCCAGCAGCCGCGGUAAUACGUAGGGUGCAAGCGUUAAUCGGAAUUACUGGGCGUAAAGCGUGCGCAGGCGGUUCUGUAAGACAGAUGUGAAAUCCCCGGGCUCAACUUGGGAAUUGCAUUUGUGACUGCAGGACUAGAGUUCAUCAGAGGGGGGUGGAAUUCCAAGUGUAGCAGUGAAAUGCGUAGAUAUUUGGAAGAACACCAAUGGCGAAGGCAGCCCCCUGGGAUGCGACUGACGCUCAUGCACGAAAGCGUGGGGGGCAAACAGGAUUAGAUACCCUGGUAGUCCACGCCCUAAACGAUGUCUACUGGUUGUUGGGGUUUUUUAACCUUGGUAACGAAGCUAACGCGUGAAGUAGACCGCCUGGGGAGUACGGUCGCAAGAUUAAAACUCAAAGGAAUUGAC
rnacentral:rRNA from 1 species